rnacentral:rRNA from 1 species
ACGGGUGAGUAACACGUAGGUAACCUGCCUGUAAGACCGGGAUAACUAUCGGAAACGAUAGCUAAGACCGGAUAACUGGUUUUCUCGCAUGAGGGAAUCAUGAAACACGGAGCAAUCUGUGGCUUAUAGAUGGGCCUGCGGCGCAUUAGCUAGUUGGUGAGGUAACGGCUCACCAAGGCGACGAUGCGUAGCCGACCUGAGAGGGUGAACGGCCACACUGGGACUGAGACACGGCCCAGACUCCUACGGGAGGCAGCAGUAGGGAAUCUUCCGCAAUGGACGCAAGUCUGACGGAGCAACGCCGCGUGAGUGAUGAAGGUUUUCGGAUCGUAAAGCUCUGUUGCCCUAGACGAACAGCAUGAGGAGUAACUGCCUUGUGUGUGACGGUAUAGGAGAAGAAAGCCCCGGCUAACUACGUGCCAGCAGCCGCGGUAAUACGUAGGGGGCAAGCGUUGUCCGGAAUUAUUGGGCGUAAAGCGCGCGCAGGCGGUUGGUUAAGUCUGAUGUUUAAGCCCGGGGCUCAACCCCGGUUCGCAUCGGAAACUGGCUGACUUGAGUGUAGGAGAGGAAAGUGGAAUUCCACGUGUAGC